CACAUCCUUCAUGAGAUAGCUUCACCUCGAUAUGAACUCCUCGAUGCCGCCAUGUGCCAUCCGUUCCUCUUCACAACCUCCGCGCGGGUUUUGAGGCCCAAACUCGCGCGUGAAACCCACCACCGAUGGUUUUAAGGCCCAAACCACCAAAAUGUCCGUGAGUAGUGUACUCCAUAUGCGUCCCCCGUUACUCAAUGCGUGUCACCGUUGUCCUCGACCGGCCAGCCGCCAAGUCCUCCGGAGGCUUGCUUGACUCGCAUGUCCGUCAUCUUGACUUGGUCAACACGGUCACUCCCAUAUACACUUGCGCUUGUCGAUGUUCUAGAUGUCAUCCACCCAGCCUCCUGGUCUCUCGGUCCAAGCCUCACAUUCGCCCUUCACCGCUCUGAGUCCACCGACAUGGCACGUCUCUACUUGACCUUCUUCUCACCGUCGACCACCGCCUCCGAGCUCCACACCUGCACACCACAAGCUAAGAGACAUAUUGCACACGCAUCUCAUGCCAUGGUUAGGUAACAAACUCAACCUAGGUCGUGGAUCACGUAGAUAAUCAUUCAUCACAAAUCAAAUCACAAGGGCACAUAUCAACCUUAUAUUUGCAAAACAAUAGUCUUAAUUUGCAGGCAAAGUGCCCAUCUCUAUAAAUUAGGGAAAAUCACAAGAAAAAUAAAAAAGAAAACCUAAUGUCAA
rnacentral:lncRNA from 1 species